AUUGAUUACUUUCCACUCAUCCAAACUCCCGCGUCCAACAUCCAUCUCCCCAUCCUCGCUUCCUGAUCCGUCAUUUCCUGACCUCUGACCAUUCACAGUCCAGUUGUUGCCAACCGCCUGUAGCUCACGCUCAACAGACAAUCGUCUACGCUCCUUUCCUCCAGUUGCCGCCAUUUCCCCCUGCCUCCUUCUCAUCUUCCUCUCUACCACACUCCUCACGGCGGGGUUCUUCUGGUGGGAUGCCUUCCUUUAAAGUUAGCCUACCUCUAUCUGAAGUAGGCUAGCCUGCAGCUCUUUUUCACUCAGACGUCUCACAACCAGUGCUUUUUUAAACAGUGAGUACUACGUAGGCCUACAGAGACAAGGAAAUACCGUUUGCGUCUAACCAGAAGAGCAAAAUGGACUAAUGUCAAUAAUUGGUGAGAAAAACAACGUUUGGAAUCAGAUGAUUUGGUGGACCCCCUGCAAUAACUCUGAGGACCUCAAGGGGGCAUGUGAGAUCAACAAAUGACAGGUCCUGAGGCCUUGGCUGGACACUUGCCAGAUGCCAAGUUCCCUGAAAAACACAAUGACUGAUUAGUCCAUAGCCCAUAAUCCUUGCCCAUCUGAAGUGAAAUAAAAUACCUGUUGUAGAUAUCUGA